rnacentral:rRNA from 1 species
UACGUAGGGUGCGAGCGUUAAUCGGAAUUACUGGGCGUAAAGCGUGCGCAGGCGGUUGUGCAAGACAGAUGUGAAAUCCCCGGGCUUAACCUGGGAAUUGCAUUUGUGACUGCACGGCUAGAGUGUGUCAGAGGGAGGUGGAAUUCACGUGUAGCAGUGAAAUGCGUAGAUAUGUGGAGGAAUACCGAUGGCGAAGGCAGCCUCCUGGGAUAACACUGACGUCGAUGCACGGAAAGCGUGGGGAGCAAACAG